CGACUGCUAUCGGGGUGGCGCUAAGCCAUGGGAGUCGCACAUCCCACCGCCGUGGGGUGUGGCGAACGGCUGAGUAACACGUGGCUAACCUACCCUCGGGACGGGGACAACUCCGGGAAACUGGGGCUUAUCCCCGAUAGGCGGGGAGUCCUGGAACGGUUCUCCGCCCAAAGGGAUGGGAGGGGGUUAUCGCCUUCUAUCCGCCCGAGGAUGGGGCUGCGUCCCAUCAGGUUGUUGGCGGGGUAACGGCCCGCCAAGCCUAUAACGGGUAGGGGCCGUGAGAGCGGGAGCCCCCAGAUGGGCACUGAGACAAGGGCCCAGGCCCUACGGGGCGCACCAGGCGGGAAACCUCCGCAAUGCGGUAACCCGUGACGGGGUCACCCCGAGUGCUCCCCUUAUGGGGAGCUUUUCCCCGCUGCAGGAAGGCGGGGGUAAUAAGUGGGGGGCAAGACUGGUGUCAGCCGCCGCGGUAAUACCAGCCCCACGAGUGGUCGGGACGGUUAUUGGGCCUAAAGCGCCCGUAGCCGGCCCAGCAAGUUCCUGCCUAAAUCACCGGGCUCAACCCGGUGACUGGUGGGAAUACUGCUGGGCUAGGAGGCGGGAGAGGCCGGGGGUACUCCUAGGGUAGGGGCGAAAUCCUAUAAUCCUAGGAGGACCACCAGUGGCGAAGGCGCCCGGCUGGAACGCGCUCGACGGUGAGGGGCGAAAGCUGGGGGAGCAAACCGGAUUAGAUACCCGGGUAGUCCCAGCUGUAAACGAUGCGGACUAGGUGUUGGACGGACCUAGGGUCCGUCUAGUGCCGCAGGGAAGCCGUUAAGUCCGCCGCCUGGGGAGUACGGCCGCAAGGCUGAAACUUAAAGGAAUUGGCGGGGGAGCACCACAAGGGGUGGAGCCUGCGGCUUAAUUGGAGUCAACGCCGGGAACUUUACCGGGGGCGACAGCAGGAUGACGGCCAGGCUAAUGACCUUGCCCGACGCGCUGAGAGGAGGUGCACGGCCGUCGCCAGCUCGUGCCGUGAGGUGUCUGGUUAAGUCCAGCAACGAGCGAGACCCCCGCCCCUAAUUGCUACCCGCUCCUUCGGGAGCGGGGCACAUUAGGGGGACUGCCGGCGUCUAAGCCGGAGGAAGGUGGGGGCCACGGCAGGUCAGCAUGCCCCGAAACCCCCGGGCUGCACGCGGGCUACAAUGGCUGGGACAGCGGGAACCGACCUCGAAAGAGGGAGGUAAUCCCUCAAACCCAGCCGCAGUUGGGAUCGAGGACUGAAACCCGUCCUCGUGAACGAGGAAUCCCUAGUAACCGCGCGUCAUCAUCGCGCGGUGAAUACGUCCCUGCUCCUUGCACACACCGCCCGUCGCUCCACCCGAGUGGGGAGAGGGUGAGGCCCUGCUCCGAAUGGGGUAGGGUCGAACC
rnacentral:rRNA from 1 species